rnacentral:rRNA from 1 species
UGAGGAAUAUUGGUCAAUGGGCGCAAGCCUGAACCAGCCAUCCCGCGUGAAGGAUGAAGGUCCUAUGGAUUGUAAACUUCUUUUAUACACCAAGAAAAACUCGAACGUGUUCGAGCCCGACGGUAGUGUAUGAAUAAGCAUCGGCUAACUCCGUGCCAGCAGCCGCGGUAAUACGGAGGAUGCAAGCGUUAUCCGGAUUCAUUGGGUUUAAAGGGUGCGUAGGCGGCUUUUUAAGUCAGUGGUGAAAUCC